GGCAGGCCUAAUACAUGCAAGUCGAGGGGCAGCACAGGUAGCAAUACCGGGUGGCGACCGGCAAACGGGUGCGGAACACGUACGCAACCUUCCUUCAAGCGGGGAAUAGCCCAGAGAAAUUUGGAUUAAUACCCCAUAAGAAUGUGGAUUGGCAUCAAUCAGCAUUUAAAGAUUUAUCACUUGAAGAUGGGCGUGCGUCUGAUUAGGUAGUUGGUGAGGUAACGGCUCACCAAGCCAACGAUCAGUAACUGGCGUGAGAGCGCGACCAGUCACACGGGCACUGAGACACGGGCCCGACUCCUACGGGAGGCAGCAGUAAGGAAUAUUGGUCAAUGGACGCAAGUCUGAACCAGCCAUGCCGCGUGGAGGAUGAAGGCCCUCUGGGUUGUAAACUUCUUUUAUCUGGGACGAAACACUUCUUUUCUAAGGAGCUUGACGGUACCAGGUGAAUAAGCACCGGCUAACUCCGUGCCAGCAGCCGCGGUAAUACGGAGGGUGCAAGCGUUAUCCGGAUUCACUGGGUUUAAAGGGUGCGUAGGCGGACAUUUAAGUCCGUGGUGAAAUCUCCGAGCUUAACUCGGAAACUGCCAUGGAUACUAUAUGUCUUGAAUGUUGUGGAGGUUAGCGGAAUAUGUCAUGUAGCGGUGAAAUGCAUAGAUAUGACAUAGAACACCAAUUGCGAAGGCAGCUGGCUACACAAAUAUUGACGCUGAGGCACGAAAGCGUGGGGAUCAAACAGGAUUAGAUACCCUGGUAGUCCACGCCCUAAACGAUGAUUACUCGAC
rnacentral:rRNA from 1 species